CCUACGGGUGGCUGCAGUCGAGAAUCAUUCACAAUGGGGGAAACCCUGAUGGUGCGACGCCGCGUGGGGGAAUGAAGGUCUUCGGAUUGUAAACCCCUGUCAUGUGGGAGCAAAUUAAAAAGAUAGUACCACAUGAGGAAGAGACGGCUAACUCCGUGCCAGCAGCCGCGGUAAUACGGAGGAUGCGAGCGUUGUCCGGAUUUACUGGGUGUAAAGGGUGCGCAGGCGGUCUGUUAAGUCAGCGGUGAAAGCCGGGGGCCCAACCCCGGCCCUGCGGUUGAACUUGGCAUUUUCGAGUAGGAGAGAGGUAUGCGGAAUGCGCGGUGUAGCGGUGAAAUGCAUAGAUAUCGCGCAGAACUCCGAUUGCGAAGGCAGCAUGC
rnacentral:rRNA from 1 species